GCAGAGGUGGAAGUGUGGCAACACAUGGAGCUGACUGUUACUAAUAGGUCGAGGGCUUGAUUAA
rnacentral:rRNA from 1 species